rnacentral:rRNA from 1 species
AUUGAACGCUGGCGGAAUGCUUUACACAUGCAAGUCGAACGGCAGCACGGACUUCGGUCUGGUGGCGAGUGGCGAACGGGUGAGUAAUGUAUCGGAACGUGCCCAGUCGUGGGGGAUAACGUAGUGAAAAUUACGCUAAUACCGCAUACGAUCUAUGGAUGAAAGCCGGGGAUCGCAAGACCACGCGCGAUUGAAGUGGCCGAUAUCAGAUUAGGUCGUUGGUGGGGUAAAGGCCCACAGAGCCAACGAUCUGUAGCUGGUCUGAGAGGACGACCAGCCACACUGGAACUGAGACACGGUCCAGACUCCUACGGGAGGCAGCAGUGGGGAAUUUUGGACAAUGGGCGAAAGCCUGAUCCAGCCAUUCCGCGUGCAGGAUGAAGGCCCUCGGGUUGUAAACUGCUUUUGUACAGAACGAAAAGGUUUCUACUAAUACUAGGAGCUCAUGACGGUACUGUAAGAAUAAGCACCGGCUAACUACGUGCCAGCCGCCGCCGUAA